ensembl:lncRNA
UAUAUAUAUAUAUAUAUAAACAUGGAACAGUGGAUGAAGAUGCAGAUGAUAUUUGGGAAAUUUGCAUAAAUGUGCAGUUUGUUGGACACGUGUCAGGGACUACAGCUUCAGUUUGGGCGGAUAAAUGGAGACUUUGGAAUACUCAUCACAUAUCACAAUGUACUGCUGAGUGCAUGGACUCUCUGAAAGGAUUUCUGCCAUUUCUUUAUUUCCCUGUAAAAUGAACCUGCAGUUAGAUUCGGGAUACUCGGAUGUGUUGAGAUAUUUCUCGAUCAGAAAAUCGAGACACGCGAUCAAGUGGCGGUUCGUUUUCUCCUUCUGCAUCCAGCACUUCCUUUCCAGCAAUCCCUCCGCCGUUAUAUAUCGCAGCUUAAACUGGCACUUGGUUUCGAUCGUCUUGAUCUCGUCCGGUACGCCUCUGAUGGUGAAGGUGAUGGAGAACCUGUUGCACGUGAUCUUUAACGCCUGAUGUUUGGACCCCACCACGUCUUUGGCUUCUGUAAAACAGGAUCUCAUCUGGUUCUGGCAGGAGUGCACGCUGAAAUAGAUGCUCUUGACGUCCGCGUCCACGACCGCGUCGCCGUCGCAGUAGACGCAGCAAUCGAUGCGAGUUUUACCGUCCUCGGCCGACACGGUGUAAAUCACGCCGCCGACUUUGCCGAUUUUCAGACACUGACAUUCACUUUUGACCUGCAGGGUCAUGGCUUCGUCGAGAGGGUUGUGUCUAAACAUGCGCUCGGAAAUAUCCAGGUUGGAGAGGAGGACGUUGUCCUUGCAUGCCUUCUCCUUCAGCUUCUGUUUCACUGACAGUAUGCCUUGCGUGUCAGGAUGCACAUCAAAGGUUCUAGAAAAGCAGAAACAUCAUGGCAUCGUUUGGGAACGGUGUAAAUGAGAGAGGUUUUACACCGUCCCGAUACAGGCCGGAAAACUUUAAAACAACAGGUAUGACGCACAACGAAAACAUGCCAUGAGGAAAUAACCCUUACUCUGGUGCUCCAGACAUCGUGUAGAGGAGCGACAGAGCUCUUCGAGUUCCUUCACACAAAGCUGUAGAAAAUAAAAAGCACAGAAACACUGAUCAGUGCAGCACUCAGGGUCCAUCGACUAAACCCUGUCGUGGUUCCGUGAAUAGACGUGUUCGUGUCCCUCAGCGUAAGGGCCGGAUAUCCUCUCUUUCGGUUUCAUUUCCUGCACAGCAGAACCGCCCGGACGUUCUUAAAGGUACACGAUCACAAUAAUACCCAGACUUUCUGUUCUGCUCUCGUCUGCUCGGUCCUCUCCGUCUUUCCUCCGUUCUGCUCGUCUCUCUGUUCUGUACUUUAUGGUUCUCUGUUCUGGUCUGUCCUGAACAUUCCCUGCGUCUCUGCUCUGCUCUGCUCUGCUCUGCUCUGCUCUGUACUGUUCUGUACUGUACUGUUCUGCGUUCUUCUGCGCUUCUCUUUUAUUCUCUGUUCCUGUUCUGCCUUUCUUCUCUUCUCUGUACUGUUUUCUUUUUCUGCUGGAAGAAAAGACACUUUGUGUUAAGUGAUUGAUUUAUUUUGCUCGUACAAAAGAAAACAUCAUCGAGUCUCAGGGUAAAAACCGUUUCGUCAGCACUGAACAUGGAAAUGUCUUUACAAGUCUUCUGAUGGGUUUGUUGUUGUUGUUGUUGUUGUUGUUUUUUUGUUUUUUACAGAAUGUCUACUGCUUCUCAUAAACAAGAGUUUAUAAAGUUACAGGUGAUUGUACAAAUAGAAUUGUUAUGCAAUGCAUGUAGAAAGAUGAAAGUAAUUUUAUAUGAAGUACUGCAUCUGCGUCAUAUAAUAACAUCUAGUAGCAUAAGGUCGGUAUCCUGGCUCUUCUCUAGCCCCGCCCAUCUUUCACGCCCUCUGCUCGGCGGGACAUGUCUCCGUUCUCCAAGGCUCCGUUCCCAGUGCGCUUCAGUGGUGUUCUGGUGAGACUCGGUGGCGUAGCGCACUCAUCUCCUCGAUCAGUUGCGUGUCGGAGGAGGAAGUUUCCCAAAAGCGUCGUAAAGGUAAGAUCGUCUCAACUAGGAGAGAGAGAGUGUUCGGCGUGACGCUCGCUCUACCGUUUGACCGUGACCUUUGCACUGCGACGCUUUUGUGAAACGCUGGAUCUGGAGUCUGUUUGGGGUCGCAGAAUCUACCUGUGUCCGUGUUUGUGUUUCCUCGCCACAACUGCCGGUUAUUGAAUAUCUAUCUAUCUAUCCAUCUAUCCAUCCGUCCACCCGAGUAUCCUCCUGGCCCCUCGACCUUCACUCGUACUCCCACAGCUCCAUGUCCUGAACCCUGUGGCUGUGAGCUCGAUUCUGUCCGUCGGUGAAGACGAAGUGCUGCGUGCUGUGGUAUCCGUCGCGUCCGCAGACGAGCUCCACCAGCUCUCCGUCACUCUGGAUGAGGACGCGGAUGUUUUCCUCCUGAAACUGACUGUAGUUGAUCAGCAGGUGCUGGAAACAAGCCAGCAGGCCUUCCUUCAUCUCGCCGCUUCUCUCCAGACGUGUUUUGGUCUCCAGGAGCUUCUCCAGGUUCAGCGUUUUGCCGAAGCACACUCGUCGGCGAGGGCAGACGAAAAGGCUGCGCUGAGGCUGCUGGGUAGUGUAAGUAAUCUGAAGCUCACCGCACACGAUCCUCAGCUCCAGCUGGCUCUGAGACGACGGAUCCGACUCGAUUUCCGCGCGUAAAACGCGCCUCGCUCGAUCCACGCAGCUCUCCAGCUCGUCUCUGCAGCGAUGCCCGGCGAAGUGAGACUCGCUCAGGCACGAGGGGACGAGACGAGACCCGACCGGGACUUUCUGAUGAAGCUCUGGACCGUUCUGACCCACACGGACCACGUACAGCAGGACGGGGUUUCCUGCAGUGAACCGAACCAGCUGCCUCUCUCCUUCAAAGGUGAGAGAGACGUCACGGCGUUUCGAGGCAGGGAAUUUCUCCAGCGUCUGGAUCGCAAAAUCCAAGCAGGUCUUCAUGUUGGAAUCCAGAAAGCCUUCUUGGCGCAGUUUCACCUUCGCUGAGAGGAACGUGUCCAAAUCCAAACACGGCACGGUGAAGUUUUUUCUAAAAAAAAAGAGAGAGAGAGAACAGCGACAUAACUGUGUCGUAUAAACCGGUGAGAAUCCGCUCGUCUCCUGCUGCUGAUGCCUUGGAGCUGUGAUGAAGGUUAAUGAUAUUUAACGUAAACACAUUCAUCCACCACGUGGUCCUCGCUUUCUGUCUCCUAAACACACCUUUUAUUUUUCAGAAACAAUAACAAGGACGCUUUCUUUUCACCCAGCCGCCAUGACCUACGAGCUGAACACACCCCGGGAGCGCAAAAUCACGUAAAAGUGAAGUCCUUUUAGUGAAAAAUGUCAGAAUCGCAUCCAUCACGACGGCUGAGACGGCUAACCGUCGUCCAGACGCUGUUUUCAAAUACUUAUUUUUUUUUUAAACGAGUUAAAAGCAGUAUACUGUACUUCAUUUUCAAACACUAGCCAGACUUUCCUGUAACACAACAGUUCUCAAAAGUCUUGCAUCUUCGGAAAUUUCCAUGUGAAUACAUAAAAAGUCACAUUCAAAUGUCAGGCGAACAUGUGUACGUAUCUCUUUCAUCGAACCGUUAGCAUCAGCAUGCUCACGCUUUCCAGCUUUAUUAAACGAGUGACGUCUGGAUCAAACCCUUUUGAAUUCGGUUCCUUCAGACUGUAAUCAACACGCAGUUAAACAGCUCUCGCAUCAUUUUCUGACAGCUUCAGGCUCUGUUAGGAUCAGCGUUAGUUCUACUGAGAGGAAGGAAAUACAAGGAAAUGGGCUCUUACAUCUCACUCAUGAUGGAGAUCGACGACGUUUUGCCGAGCAGCGAUGCACUCCUGAGCCCCAGAUCUUUACUCCCCGAUGAAGACACGGACGUCGCCAUGACACGGAGGUGACGCUCCUGAUCGGAGGAUAUGAGGAGAAGACACGGCGUGAGCACAUCGCUGUCUGGUGCAGACUCGACAGCUCUGUUUAAAUCAAUAAAUAGGAUAGAAUUCAUCUAAUAACGUAGUGAAGGUCACCCGAACGGCUCACCUGUGUGCCGUGGCGUCUCCUCCUUUCUCUCGUCGGUGUGUGAAUCAGCGGCGUUUUAAAAACACACACACACACACACACACGUGUGAGUUUGUUUCUCAGAAUCCCCGAGUCAUCAUGCAGGUGUGUGUUUAUAAUCAUCACUUUACCGUCAACGGUCCACACACACCAACACACCAACACACCUACUUUUACACAGUUGGGCAGAUUUGAGACGUCGCUGAGAGGAAUACGAGAUAUUUAAACACCUCACAAAAUCAGCAAACUAAGCACAAGGGUUGUUCCCUAAAGCAGGGGUUCCCAAACUUUCCCAGGGCGAGGCCCCCCAAAUGGCAUUACCAUUUGACCGAGGCCGCCCUUUUGCAAGGUGUCUUUAAAAACACAUUAAAAAUACAGACUUCUGAAUAUAUCCCCCUUUUUUUUAUUAAAGAUUACAUCUUACAUCUUUACAUUACAUUACUUUAGGAAUUGUGUGUGUGUGUGUGUGUGUGUGUGUGUGCGUGCGUGUGGUUGUCUCAGAGUGAGAAAGAGAAAACAUACUUUUAUUUAUUUUUCACACCAAAUGAUUGCGGCCCCCCCGAGCGCCCCCUGGCGGCCCCGACUUUGAAAACCACUGCCCUAAAGCAUAGAACUCUGUGUAUAUUGCAUCAGGCAAUAUAUUAUAUAUGAUUAUUAUUUGUAUGUAUGUGCAACGCUAGUACAUGAGUGAUAUGAAAUACAGUUUGUAAUGUUUUUACACCAUUGUCGCAGAAUUUUAUUUUCCCUUUGGGAAGUCGCACAAGAAGUCAUGUUCUAGAUCUGUAACACGGACGGCGCGGAAGCCCGCCCCUUCGCCUGACGCGGUUGUCGGUAGCCCCGCCCCUUGUCGCGUGUAGCUCUUCCGGGAGGCGGGGCCAAACGCUGUGGCCAGAAAACGAAUCUCACCAGGAGAAGACUGGUCAGGGUUGAGUUUUCUGCUCAUCUCACGCCUUCAGCUCGUUCUGACAAGAAGGAACAAACAGGACUCGUCCUCAUGGCCUUUGUAAAGGAGUUCUUUUUCCCCUCCCUGGAAACUAAAUAUCUCCUAGAGACGAAAGUGGAACUGAGCCAGCUGGGUGUUCUUGAACCUGAACUCAAACGCAAUCUGCUGUUUGCUAUUUCAGCGAUGGACACGUUGCCGCUCAUGCUGAAGAAAAGCGCAGGACUUCUGGUCGAAGGCAGUCAGAUUCUGAUCAGCAUCACAGCGGGUAACCCCAGUCUGCAUUGCGUCGUGUUUCAGGACCACGAAGGCAUCAGACUUCACCAGACAAUAAAACCGAACAGAGAGUUGCGUCUCGACGACUUCCAUAAGGCUUUUUUCCACGGCCACGACUGUCCUCAUGAUACACCAUGUUGGGAACAGGCUAUGAAUAUCAGAUCCGUCAGCAGUAGACAAUUAGAACUAAAUAUUGUCUGCAAAGAGCUGAGAGUAACCUUCUCCGACCCUGCUCCCGUAGAGGCCAUUGUGGUGCCGACAUCUAAGAAUAUUGCACAAAUCUGAUUUAGAAAAAUAUAUAUAUAUAGAUAUAUAUUAAUAUAUAUUAAUUUCCUCUUUCCUGUUCAAACCUGUGACGCCAUCUGCUGGAAUCUGCCUCUGAAAGAUGAGUGCGCACUUUGAGUGUUGUAGGACGUUUGUUUGUUUAUAUUAUCCGAAGGUCCCUGUUUCUCCCUGCACAGCGGUCUUCCCUUAUUUCUACUGCUUGUCUUCUACAGAAACAUUACACACGACCAUUAAGCCUAAUGUUUUCAAUGUUUUAUUGCCAGUUUUCUAACCGUUUAUAAUCAAAGCCCACUUGUAGUGGAAAUAUGUCUGUUCAGUAGAAUGAGUAUAAUACUAAUACUGUUACUCUGCUAAAAUAAAGAUUCUCAUUAUGUAAUCAGUCUUGAGCUCAGGAUCAGUCCAGGGGUCCUGGAACACAGACUUUCCACUGCACCUUUUUCAUCUGUACACUGAAUUAGGAAUUGAGGAACAGUUCACCUCAGCAAUAACAAGUUCAACAUGGAAAGGAAGUCAACGAGCCCGAUUUGUCCGCUACAGCCAUUGACAUCGGACGGAAGUGGCUGCUUGUGUUCUAAUCCCGCAGGUGACCGGACAUGAUUGUAAAUAUAGUACGCGUGUGUGGAGACGUCUGAGCGAUGGGCUCACACGACACAGCUGGGAGAGUGCUGAUUACUGAGAGUGUGCACCUUGCUCAGUGGUGAGUUCAUCUGUGCUUUGUUUUCAAGAGCAAAUACACGGCGUCAGUGUGAGUGAGCCAGGUUAACAGUGAGUGAUCUGCCUUGGUUAACACACACACUCUCACUCACAUACAUAUUACACUGAUGUACAUCACUGUUUGUUUGUGUAAAGGUGCUGUGUCGCCUCCUGCUGGUCUGGUUAGAGUAUUACACAAUGUAUCUAGCUUUGUACUUUAAUAUACUUUUUAAUCUUGUGUUAAUUCUCAUAGAUUUCCAUAUAAUUCAUUAAGGAUGAUCAAUUAAUCACUAUUUUGAACAUGUAUUAUCUGAUUAAGUGAUACACAAAGAUGUACUACUAUUAUUAUUAUUAUUAACAGGAUCUGUCUUUGAUUAUUGCAGUUUGCUGCUUUAUUGUGAUUAAUUGUGAUUAUUAACUCAGUUAAUCCCUGCAGCACUGGAAUGUAUUUUAGGAAAACACGGAUUGUAUCAGAAGAAAGGUUCCGUUAGGUUCUCUACUACAUCCAGUUCUCAGCUGUGAGGUUCUGGAGCUUCAGGGCUGUAGGUGAAUACGCAAUAAAAAUGACUGAACUGAGAGAACAAAUUCAGAUCUAAAUAAUGAUAAGAAGGAACCACAUGACCACACGGCCUCCACAAUUCUCCAUAUUUUUCAAAAGAUUUUAUAUUCGAAUAUCGUUUUAUUUGUUUUUCCCUCUGUGUCUUCGUGAUUUCAUUUACGGAAUAAUGAUCUCCGUGUGCUAUUUAAAUUACUAAGUAGUGAGAAUAAAAUCACAGGAUAACAAGGAACAAAUAAUUAGGCCUGGCCUCCAAUCAGGGUCUACCUCAUUAGCAUAAAACCAAAGACAUCUGGGACCAGGGAAGCUACCAUGGACUCCUUAAGCAGGAGUCUUUUUAAAGAGACCUGUCUGAGAGAAUGAGGAGAAUGAGGAAGGCGGGGGAGGGUGAGUGACCAGUGUGGGUGAGAGGUUUUUAUACACAGUGUGUACACACCGCCGUCUUCAUACUGCUACAGCGCCACUUUUUAUUCUUAAACCUGCCAAAACACAGAUUAGAACCAGAAGGUUCAGUAACCACAACACUGACACUCACGCUCAUCUAACAUUCCUCGUAUCAGUGUCAGGUCCAGGUUUCUUCUCAUUAGCAUUAUGCACCUGUUCCUUCUGUGGUGUGGUGAUUUAUGAUGACAAAAGCCCACCACACGGGUGUAGUUUCUGUCUCUUGGUGGUGUAGUGGUUACAGUUCAUGCCAAUGAUGGUGUUCCAGAAGGUGUGGGUUCUCUUCCACCUUUUGGCUGGUUUAAGACAAAAAAAAAAAUCCUGCAGCCUCAUGACGUGAUUUGUGAUGACAAAAGUCCAACACACGUGUGUAGCUUCUGUUGCUUGGUGGUGUAGUGGUUAGAGUUCAUGUUUGUGGUGUGUUUUUUCAGGUUCUAAGGCACCUUUUGGCAGGUUCAAGAAUCAAAAGUGGUGCUAUGAAGGUGUGACGGAGGGAGUGGUGUGUAGGCCUCUGUGGCUCAGUUGGCUAAGUCAUCAUGGCUGUGGAGCAGGAGGUGCUUGGAUCAAACCCCAAAUGGAGUACUUGGCUGGAGUUUGGAGGUGGAGGUAGGUGGGUGUGGUUCUCUAGAAAUUGCAGAUGUUGUGUGUGUAGCUUGGGAGAUAGGUGGAAGAAUAGGAUUGAGGGGGUAGAUAGGAUGGAGUAGAUGGAGUAGAAGUAGUGGAGUGCAGCCCAGGAAUGUGUGGAGGAUUAGGGUGGGUCUAAAAGAGAGGGUGAGGGGGUAGAUGAUUGGCUGUGAGCUCAGGAUGAGUUGGAGGAUUGUCAAGUUAGUUGUAGGAGUGGUGGAGUGCAGACCAGGAAGGGGUGGAGGACUAGGGUGGAGGAUUAGGAAAGGGGAUUGUAGAAGGGUGUAGAUGAUUGUC